GCCCAACUAGCUCAGUUGGUACAGCAUAAGACUCUUAAUCUCUGGGUCAUGAUUUCAAGCCCCUCGUUGGGCA
rnacentral:tRNA from 1 species